rnacentral:rRNA from 1 species
AUGCAAGUCGAACGAGAGAGAGGGAGCUUGCUUCCUCAAUCGAGUGGCGAACGGGUGAGUAACGCGUGAGGAACCUGCCUCAAAGAGGGGGACAACAGUUGGAAACGACUGCUAAUACCGCAUAAGACCACGGACCGGCAUCGGUCAGAGGUCAAAGGAGGAAUCCGCUUUGGGAGGGGUUCGCGUCCCAUUAGGUAGUUGGUGAGGUAACGGCCCACCAAGGCGACGAUUGGUAGCCGGACUGAGAGGUUGAACGGCCACAUUGGGACUGAGACACGGCCCAGACUCC